UCCCGGCUUAAAAUCCCAAACCACCAUCUACCCUUAAUUUUACACAUAAUACAAACCCUAGAGAGAGGGGUGAGAGAGAGAGAGAUAUGCAGAUGUCUAUAGAUAGAAAGGGAGUGUGGAGCAGAAUCGUGAUGGAGUGGUGGCUGACCACCGCCACCUUUGGCGGCACCACCCGAUUCCGGCGCGUCACCGACCCCACUAACGGUACAAUGGCUGAGUGUUUGAGAGAGAGAGAGAGGGGCUGUGUAGACGAUGGCCUUGACGACGGUUAGCAUUCCGACCAAAUCAGACCAGAUUCCGGUACGACUAGGGUUCUAGGGAGUAGUGCCAGCAAGGAGGAUCAGUUGAUGAUCCGGUGAGUAGAUUAAAGCCUGUACGGGAGUUCUUCAAGUGAAUCAGCAACUGUCCAGGCCGACUCUACAUAUAUGUGGGCAACCUCCUCUUAUAUACGACCGAAGGGACAGCAGACGACAUUUCUUUCUGAGCUAUCGGCAUCGCCUCUUUCAUUCUUCCCCAGCCGCUGAUCGGAAACUUAUUUGGUCUAAAAGGCUGAGAAUAUGUUGGGGAUUGUAAGGCGGAACAUUGGGGGCGCCGGCGGCUUAUCUUCUCGAGUAAAUGAAAUGAUGUGGCAUCUGGUUUAACAAGCAAAGAUAUUGUUGGAACGAAAAUGGGUUAAUGUUUUGUGUUUAUUCAGGGGUUGGGGAAUUAUAUGAUGAGGUUAAGACCUGUAGCGUUAGCCCUGAGGAAUUACUCAUCUGGAGGCAAAGAGGUGAUUUUGAGUUUUGAUUUCUAUUUGGUCACUGAACCAUACACAAAAGCAUAUGGACCACCAUAAUGUGCUCCAGUAGAUGGAUGUUCGACUAACACGGCUGAAUGAAACGAAUUAAGGUAACCUAUGAAACGAAGAUUUUGUUUGGCGACUUUUAAAUCGAUGUUAGAAGUCUAUAUGUUGUAACAGAAAACAUGUUAUUGGAGAAAUCAACAUGUUUUUUCUUUUAAAUAACAUAGAUUUGAUGUGUAAAUUUUUUAUAUGAAUGGAAGUUUUGAAAA